rnacentral:rRNA from 1 species
GCACAAGCAGCGGAGCGUGUUGGUUUAAUUCGAUGCUACACGAAGAACCUUUACCUGGGUUUUGACAUAUAGGUUGUAGGGAACUGAAAAGGGACCGACCUUCGGGGAGCCUAUACAGGUGUUGCAUGGCUGUCGUCAGCUCGUGUCGUGAGAUGUUCGGUUAAGUCCGCUAACGAGCGCAACCCUCGUCGUAUGUUAUAUGUGUCAUACGAGACUGCCGGUAAAAAGCCGGAGGAAGGUGAGGAUGAUGUCAAGUCAGCAUGACCUUUAUAUCCAGGGCUACACACACGCUACAAUGGUCUGUACAACGGGUAGCCAAGCCGCGAGGCGGAGCCAAUCCUGAAAGCAGGCCUCAGUUCAGAUUGCAGUCUGCAACUCGACUGCAUGAAGCCGGAGUUGCUAGUAACCGCAGGUCAGCAAUACUGCGGUGAAUACGUUCCCGGGUCUU